AUACGGAGGGGGCUAACGUUAUUCGGAAUUACUGGGCGUAAAGCGCACGUAGGCGGCGUAUCAAGUUAGAGGUGAAAGCCCAGGGCUCAACCCUGGAAUUGCCUUUAAGACUGAUAUGCUUGAGUUCGGAAGAGGGUAGUGGAAUUCCAAGUGUAGAGGUGAAAUUCGUAGAUAUUUGGAAGAACACCAGUGGCGAAGGCGGCUACCUGGUCCGAUACUGACGCUGAGGUGCGAAAGCGUGGGGAGCAAACAGGAUUAGAAACCCCAGUAGUCC
rnacentral:rRNA from 1 species